CAGCUUCAAGAACCUUUUUACAGAUCUUGCACUCGGCAGUAACAUUCUUGACAACCUUAUCGCCCACCUUUUCCUCUGUUAUAAUCUCAGUGAAGUGCGUCCAAACUUUUGAGGUUUUCUUCUUUCCCCCGGCUUUGGCCUUGAGAUUUUUCUUUGUUGCAGCUUUCUCUACUAUGGCAGAAGUAGUACCACUUCUACUUCCAUCCUGAUCGACACCACUGCUACCAUUUGGUCCACUUGCAAUUUCAACUGGAGAUGCUCCUGCAAUCUACACGAACAUAAAUUUAUCAUACAGAGUUACAGACUAAAAUCAGCAGCUGUACAAAAAAAUGAAUACUACCUGUGUAUUUUGGAGGUUCUUUGAAGAAUUAGCAACCAUGACCGAUCUGCUUAAACUGAUUUACGCAGAACUGAAAAAUGGGUUGAAAUAGAACAAAUCACAUAUAGCUUUUGAUCAAUGAACUAGAGUACUGGACUAUCAAGUACUGAUCGACUCAUACUUUACUUCCAUCAGAUCAAUGUCAGAUAGUGUAGAGCAGCGGCUAACUUACCUUGGCCAGAGCAAACGAGCGGAG
rnacentral:lncRNA from 1 species